UUCCCGAGCCUCCGGAAGAGGCGGAGCUGGAGCAGAAUUCCCGACUCCGGGAGCUGAUCCGGGAAUAUUUCCAGAGGGAUCCGACGGAAUCCGAGGAGGAGGAGGAGGAAAAAAAUCCGGGAAUUCCAGCGGAUCAGGAAGAAGAAAUCCGAGCCGAGAUCCGGAAAUUCCUCGCGGCGUAUCCGGACGAGGAAUUUUCGGGAAGAGCCGUGGCCAGGAUUUUCCAUGGAAUUGGCUCUCCCCGCUUCCCAGCCCGGAUUUUCGGGCGGGAUCGGCGCUUCUGGAGGAGGCUCCUCCCGCUGGAAUUCCGGAGCCUUUCCCGCUUGGCUUCCCAGGAAAUCCUGGCCUCCAGGUGAGGGAAAAACCGGGAAAACCUCGGGAAAAACCUCUGGAAAAACCUCUGGAA